rnacentral:rRNA from 1 species
GAAUUCGCUAGGGAUUCAGGCCUGACACAUGCAAGUCGAGCGGUAGAGAGAAGCUUGCUUCUCUUGAGAAAGGCGGACGGGUGAGUAAUGCCUAGGAAUCUGCCUGGUAGUAGGGGAUAACGUGUCGGAAACGGACGCUAAUGCCGCAUACGUCCUACGGGAGAAAGCAGGGGACCUUCGGGCCUUGCGCUAUCAGAUGAGCCUAGGUCGGAUUAGCUAGUUGGUGAGGUAAUGGGUCACCGAGGCUACGAUCCGUAACUGGUCUGAGAGGAUGAUGAGUCACACUGGAAGUGAGAGAUGGUCCAGAGUCCUACGGGAGGCGGCAGGGGGGAAUAUUGGACAAUGGGCGAAAGCCUGA